rnacentral:tRNA from 1 species
ACCUGGCUGGCUUUGCAGGUAGUGCAUGUGACUCUUGAUCUUGAAGUUGUGAGUUUGAAUCUCAUGUUGGGUG